UAGGGAAUCUUCGGCAAUGGACGAAAGUCUGACCGAGCAACGCCGCGUGAGUGAAGAAGGUUUUCGGAUCGUAAAACUCUGUUGUUAGAGAAGAACAAGGACGUUAGUAACUGAACGUCCCCUGACGGUAUCUAACCAGAAAGCCACGGCUAACUACGUGCCAGCAGCCGCGGUAAUACGUAGGUGGCAAGCGUUGUCCGGCUUUAUUGGGCGUAAAGCGAGCGCAGGCGGUUUCUUAAGUCUGAUGUGAAAGCCCCCGGCUCAACCGGGGAGGGUCAUUGGAAACUGGGAGACUUGAGUGCAGAAGAGGAGAGUGAAAUUCCAUGUGUAGCGGUGAAAUGCAUAGAUAUAUGGAGGAACACCAGUGGCGAAGGCGGCGCUCUGGUCUGUAACUGACGCUGAGGCUCGAAAGCGUGGGGAGCAAACAGG
rnacentral:rRNA from 1 species